rnacentral:rRNA from 1 species
AAACCAACAGGGAUUGCCCUAGUAACGGCGAGUGAAGCGGCAACAGCUCAAAUUUGAAAUCUGGCCCUUGGGUCCGAAUUGUAAUUUGUAGAGGAUGAUUUUGGUGCGGUACCUUCCGAGUUCCUUGGAACAGGACGCCUUAGAGGGUGAGAGCCCCGUACGGUUGGAUACCUAGCCUCUGUAAAUCUCCUUCGACGAGUCGAGUAGUUUGGGAAUGCUGCUCUAAAUGGGAGGUAAAUUUCUUCUAAAGCUAAAUACUGGCCAGAGACCGAUAGCGCACAAGUAGAGUGAUCGAAAGAUGAAAAGCACUUUGAAAAGAGGGUUAAAUAGCACGUGAAAUUGUUGAAAGGGAAGGAUUUAUGACCAGACUUUUUCUGGGCAGAUCAUCCGGUGUUCUCACCGGUGCACUUUGCCCAGUUUAGGCCAGCAUCGAUUUCCGGAGGGGGAUAAAAGCUUUAGGAAUGUGGCUCCCUCGGGAGUGUUAUAGCCUAUUGUAUAAUACCUUUCUGGGGAUCGAGGUACGCGCUUCUGCAAGGAUGCUGGCGUAAUGGUUAUCAAUCACCCGUCUUGAAACACGGACCAAGGAGUCGAACAUUUGUGCGAGUGUUUGGGUGUUAAACCCUCACGCGUAAUGAAAGUGAACGGAGGUAAGAGCCCUUACGGGUGCAUUAUCGACCGAUCCUGAAGUUUUCGGAUGGAUUUGAGUAGGAGCAUAAAUGUUCGGACCCGAAAGAUGGUGAACUAUGCGUGGAUAGGGUGAAGCCAGAGGAAACUCUGGUGGAGGCUCGCAGCGGUUCUGACGUGCAAAUCGAUCGUCAAAUCUGCGCAUGGGGG